GGGAUUAGUGGCGAACGGGUGAGUAACACGUGAGUAACCUGCCCUUAACUCUGGGAUAAGCCUGGGAAACUGGGUCUAAUACCGGAUAUGACUCCUCAUCGCAUGGUGGGGGGUGGAAAGCUUUAUUGUGGUUUUGGAUGGACUCGCGGCCUAUCAGCUUGUUGGUGAGGUAAUGGCUCACCAGGCGACAACGGUAGCCGGCCUGAGAGGGUGACCGGCCACACUGGGACUGAGACACGGCCCAGACUCCUACGGGAGGCAGCAGUGGGGAAUAUUGCACAAUGGGCGCAAGCCUGAUGCAGCGACGCCGCGUUGAGGGAUGACGGCCUUCGGGUUGUAAACCUCUUUCAGUAGGGAAGAAGCGAAAGUGACGGUACCUGCAGAAGAAAGCGCCGGCUUAACUACGUUGCCAGCAGCCGCGGUAAUACGUAGGGCGCAAGCGUUAUCCGGAAUUAUUGGGCGUAAAGAGCUCGUUAGGCGGUUUGUCGCGUCUGCCGUUGAAAGUCCGGGGCUCAAUUCCGGAUCUGCGGUGGGUACGGGCAGACUAAAGUGAUGUAGGGGAGACUGGAAUCCUGGUGUAGCGGUUGAAAUUGCGCAGAUUUCAGGAGGAACACCGAUGGCGAAGGCAGGUCUCUGGGCUUUAACUGACNCCUAGGAACGAAAAGCAUGGGGAG
rnacentral:rRNA from 1 species